CCUACGGGGGGCAGCAGUGAGGAAUAUUGGUCAAUGGACGAGAGUCUGAACCAGCCAAGUAGCGUGAAGGAUGACUGCCCUAUGGGUUGUAAACUUCUUUUAUAAAGGAAUAAAACGAGGCACGUGUGCCUUUUUGCAUGUACUUUAUGAAUAAGGAUCGGCUAACUCCGUGCCAGCAGCCGCGGUAAUACGGAGGAUCCGAGCGUUAUCCGGAUUUAUUGGGUUUAAAGGGAGCGUAGAUGGGUUGUUAAGUCAGUUGUGAAAGUUUGCGGCUCAACCGUAAAAUUGCAAUUGAUACUGGCAGUCGUGAGUACAGUUGAGGUAGGCGGAAUUCGUGGUGUAGCGGUGAAAUGCUUAGAUAUCACGAAGAACCCCGAUUGCGAAGGAAGCUUACUAAACUGUGACUGACAUUGAUGCUCGAAAGUGUGGGUAUCAAACAGGAUUAGAUACCCUUGUAGUC
rnacentral:rRNA from 1 species